GAGAUUGAUGAAGUAGCUGAAUAUUUUUCCAUAUAUUUGUAUUUUGAUGACCUUUUUUAUAGAAUGGUUCAUUACAAAUACUAGCUAACCUUAUUGGAAGGACCAUGCAGUAAACUGGAAAAUGAUGAUUGAGACAAGGAACACAUUUCAAGAACAGGAUACUCCCAACUCCCAAGCUUUCUGAUCUAAAUCUCACUCAUGGAACAGUUGGAAGAUUUGGUGCUUCAUUAAUGUGCUUAGUUUGUGUUUGUGCACAUCAAGAAAGAAGUCUGAAAUAAAAGCAUUGAGUGCAUAUACAUUGGCCAUUAUCAGUAUGUCAAAGUGUAAAUGCUCUAGAAUUUCACCCCCAUGGAGGUGGUUCUUAGUAAGAUCAGGAAUUAUGAUGCAAAAUUGCAGGAUUGAAGAAACAAGAAAGUCAAGGGCAUGGCAUGAGCCACUAUUUUCAGGAGAACAUGUUUAAUCCUCCAUUAGUCCCACUUUAGUCACCUUCCUCGCUAAGUCACCCUCAACCAUUUUUCACACAUAAAUUUGAAGAGAUUAUCUACCUUUAUCUCAUUUGCCUAAAUGGUUGAUGAAUUUGUGAUUUGGACUGAUGUGAUUAUUAAUAUGAUUCAUAUAUGUUCUUUUGAUUAUUAUGUUUCAGUUAGGUUUAAUAAAGCCACCUAAGAUGCAAACUGCAUGAUAGCUAUAAACAUAAUCAUGUAAAGAUCAAAUGGUUGAGAACAAUAAGAGGAGUGACACAAAGGCUAUGCUAAACUCUCUAAGGAACAAGGCUUCUGGUGUAAAGUGGGCAGAUACAUGAAAGAAGAACCAAACUACUCUUUGGGAUAAUUAUUGGAAAUUAACUAAUUGUCUCUCUAUACAAUGUUUUGGAAAGCUAUGCAUAAGAGGAUCACUAUAGAUGGUUGGGGAAAUCAAUUAAAGGUGCAAUAACAACUACAACAGUUGCGUGGUUACUAAUAAUGAUGCAACUCAUGCACUUUUUGAUGAUGAAUAUGACAACCAGUCUGGAAUUUUACAAUCUGAUGAUUGAUUCCGCCAAAAUCUCCUUUUGAGGAUUUCUAUUCUUCAUAUUCAUGUUACAAUAUCAGCAAUAUCAAGCUUUGAUGUGCUCUGAUUGAUGUCAGUUUAUAGAUGAUCGGGA
rnacentral:lncRNA from 1 species